rnacentral:misc_RNA from 1 species
AACCUUAUGGACCUGCGGGCGUAUACCUGCGGAAGGAUCAUUACAGAGUGUUUAACCCCCUAUAAAAUGGUGGGUCUAACCUCCCGUCCUUUGCUGGGUCCCCCUUCUGGAGGACUUUCAAAACUUUCUGCUUCGGCGGGGUAUACCCGCCGGAACACCCUCAAAAAAUUCUUGAUCAAAAUGGUUCGGUCCGAGAAACUUUUUGUGAAAAUUAGCGAAAAACUUUCAACAACGGAUCUC